rnacentral:lncRNA from 10 species
CUGGAGUAGUGUCAUGUUUGGGGAGCAGAAUAGGAAGGUGGAAACGGACAUAUGGGAAGAAAACGGUAGCCAGAGCCCAAGCGCCACCAAGUUGGCACCAAACCAAAGUCUUUGGAAGAGAAUUACAGCUCUGUCUGAGUGAGGAUAAAGUGAUUGAUGUAGCAUAAAGGUCACAAUGAAUAAACAAAAUCUGAUUCAGAGACUAUGCCAAGCCAGGUGAUAAGAUCUUGAAGAACCAAGAUCCAGAGAGAAGUGAAAGGAAUCAGUGUUCCAUGGAACGGAAGUGCAUCAGGAAAGGAAAGAGAAAACAGAUUCAGACUAAAGCACGUGCCUGACAAUGUGUCUGCUGCAUUGCAUGAGGCAGCCUUGCUGCAGCCAACCAUAGUGGGUGCCCUUGUAGGUCCAAUUAAGAGGCUUAAUUGAAGAAUUCCAAGUUAGCAGACUGUCCUGGCACUCAGAGGAUAUUGUGCCUGGUAAUGAUAGUGUUGAAUUGGACAGAAAGAAUAUUCACAAAGGUGGCUGUCCAUAUCCAUGGGUUCUGUAUCCAUAGAUGCAGAAUUCUUGAAUACAGAGGGUUGACUGGGAGAUCUGACAUCUGCAGGUUUUGGUAUCCGUGGAAGGUUCUGCAACCAAUCUCUGGUGGAUGUGAGAGGUGAUUGUACUUAAGCUUCAAGAAAGGCCUCCUCUGCUAAAAAUGCUCUCUGAUUAGCCAUUCACUGCUUCCUGAACUAUGAAGACAUCUUCUAGGAAUACUCAGGAUCUUCUGCUAUGUGGCUUUAAUUUAUUUUAAGAUUAAUUCCUCAUUACCUUCUUACACAAAGCCACCAUUAGCAUAUCAAGCACAGCUGUACAAAUUUUUAAAAGGCCAAAAGAUGUAUCUGCCAAUUCUAGGAGGAUAUAAACCUGAAGGCACAAAUCUGGGCUGGAGCACAUGGUUUCCCUUGUGAGAAGAAAAAGUCUCCUUCCUCUGAAUGGACACACCUUGCACACCAGGGCACAAGGUUUGUCUAGAAGAGCACAGCUGAACAUCAUAAAGUGCAGAACCACACACCUGGCAUCCUUGUCCCUACACAAGGUAUGUUGCUGUUAAAGUAUAAUUUGUUACUCUCCAAAGCACACUCACAAUUCCCUACUUGGGUCCCUUGUUGCAUGUUACUGCUCCUCAUUUAUGCAUUUGGAUGCUUUCUUAUAUUUUUCCUCAACCUCUACCACAUUCAGUUAGGCACUCAGCCUAUAUUUCAUGUAUACCUAUGUAGCAGGUCUUAUGACCAGAGUUGGGGAUGCACAGAAAUUGCAGAUUUCUUAUUCAUGACAUUACUUCUCAUCCCCACAACUCAAUAUGAUAAUUCCUUUCCC